CUGGUGUCACCCCUUUGGAAAGAUGUUGCCCGUGCAAUUCCUGUGAUGCAGUGCUUCUGCCUGUAGGUGCACAGCAUGGGAGACCUCAUGGGAGCCCUGGGAGACACGUACAAGAAGAGUCAAAGCACUUAUGUUCAUAACAUCAAAGCAGCAGCAGCAGCCUCAACACCAAUGGAAUCGAACUCAUGACCUUGCACUUACCAGGCAGGUGAUGCGCUGCUGAGCUAAAUCCCUAGCCCCUUAGCUUUAUUAACUUUUAAUAAAUAGACAUUCUGGAUG
rnacentral:lncRNA from 1 species